GCGCAGCAGUCGCGCAACCUCUGCAAUACGCGAAAGCGUGACAGGGCUACCCCGAGUGCCGUCCGCUGAGGAUGGCUUUUCUCCGGUGUAGUAAGCCGGAGGAAUAAGGAGAGGGCAAGUCUGGUGUCAGCCGCCGCGGUAAUACCAGCUCUCCGAGUGGUAGGGACGAUUAUUGGGCCUAAAGCGUCCGUAGCCGGCCAAGCAAGUUUCCCGUUAAAUCCAGCGAUCCAAUCGUUGGACUGCGGGAAAUACUGUUUGGCUAGGGGGCGAGAGAGGCCAACGGUAUUCCCGGGGUAGGGGUGAAAUCCCAUAAUCCCGGGAGGACCACCAGUGGCGAAGGCUGUUGGCUAGAACGGAUCCGACGGUCAGGGACGAAGCCCAGGGGCGCAAACGGGAUUAGAUACCCCGGUAGUCC
rnacentral:rRNA from 1 species